GAUGAACGCUGGCGGCGUGCCUAAUACAUGCAAGUCGAGCGAGCAGACGAGGAGCUUGCUCCUCUGACGUUAGCGGCGGACGGGUGAGUAACACGUGGAUAACCUACCUAUAAGACUGGGAUAACUUCGGGAAACCGGAGCUAAUACCGGAUAAUAUAUUGAACCGCAUGGUUCAAUAGUGAAAGACGGUUUUGCUGUCACUUAUAGAUGGAUCCGCGCCGCAUUAGCUAGUUGGUAAGGUAACGGCUUACCAAGGCAACGAUGCGUAGCCGACCUGAGAGGGGGGCGGGCCCCCUGGAGAACUGAACCCCGGCCGAGCCCCCGCGGGGGGAGACAAGUAGGGAUUCUUCCGAAAGGGGGAAAACCGGGAGGGACAAGCCCGGGGGGAGGGAUGAGGGUUUCGGUAUCGAAAACCUUUUUUUUGGGGAAAAAACAAAUGGGAAAGUAACUAGGCACGUCUGGAGGGUACUUAAUCGAAAGCCCAGGCCAAACAACGUC
rnacentral:rRNA from 1 species